rnacentral:lncRNA from 1 species
GUUUUGGGCAUGGUGAGAGAUAGGGGUUUGGUAUCAUCUUGUUGCAUUUGGAUUUCCAGUUUUCCCAGCACCACUUGUUGAAGAGGCUGUCCUUUCUCCAAUAUACAUUUUUGGUAUCUUUGUCUAGUAUAACUGUAUCUAUGUAGGUUGGUCUCUGUGUCCUCUAUUCUAUACCAUUAGUCUACCAGUCUAUUUUGGUGGCAAUACCAUGCUGUUCUUGUUACUAUUGCUCUGUAGUAUAGUUGAAGGUCUGGUAUAGUGAUGCCACCUGCUUCACUCUUCUUGCUAAGGAUUGCUUUAGCUAUUCUGGGUCUCUUAUUUUUCCAGAUGAAUUUCAUGAAUGCUUUUUCUAAGAAAUCAUCAGUGAGGUGAAGAGAGAACCUACAGAAUAAGAGCAGAUUUUUACCAUAUGCACAUCAGAUAGAGCACUAAUAUCUAGGAUAUAUAAAGAACUCCAGAAUCUUAACACCAAAAAAACAAAUAACUCAAUCAAUAAAUGGGCCAAGGAACUGAAUAGGCACUUCCCAGAAGAUGAUAUACAAUCAAUUAACAAAUAUAUGAAAAAUGUUCAACCUUUCUAGCAAUUAGAGAAAUGCAAAUCAAAACUACUCUAAGAUUUCAUCUCACUCCAGUCAGAAUGGCAACUAUUAUGAAGACAAACAGCAAUAAAUGUUGGAGAGGAUGUGGGGAAAAAGGUACACUCAUACAUUGCUGGUGGGACUGCAAAUUGGUGCAGCCAAUAUGGAAAGCAAUAUGAAGAUUCCUUGGAAAACUUGGAAUGGAGCCACCAUUUGACCCAGCUAUCCCACUCCUUGGUCUAAACCCAAAGGACUUAAAAACAGCAUACUACAGGGACACAGCCACAUCAAUGUUUAUAGCAGCACAAUUCACAAUAGCUAAACUGUGGAAUCAACCUAGAUGGCCUUCAGUAAAUGAAUGGAUAAAGAAACUGUGGUGUGUAUGUAUGUAUGUGUGUGUACACACACACACACACACACACACAGGAAUAUUACUCAGCAUUAAAAGAAAAUAAAAUCAU